CGUACGAGCUGCCGAGAAACCCCGGAGGGGCUGCGAGACCCCCGCGGGAGAAAUAAAUGACACAUUACAGAUGCCUGUGUUGUGCCAGCAGCAGCAUGAAUGUGUGUAAGAGGUAUAAAGAAGAUGUGUUGCAUUGUUUGCCCAGGGACAGCAUUCUUGGAUUCUCAAAACAAGCUGUCAACACUCUCAUUGGCCAGCUAGUGGGAUGUUCUGGCAAGGCUCACACUCGCAGAUCUGGGCCUGAAUCACUGCUGUCCUGCAUGCAACCUUGAUGAAAAAGGAAUUCUGAGGAACACAAAUGGAACUUAAAAGUCUAGUCACUGGAGGAAAAAAAACAAUGUUAACCUUUGCUUAGAUACAUAGCCCUGAGAGUUACCAGUGUUCAAGGGGCUGAAACUUUUGGUGUGGCACUAGCAGUGAGGGUCAGAAACGGUCAGUCCUGCAAAAAUCACCUAUAUGAAUGUAUCCUUUGAAACUUCUGCUGGAUUCUUAAAAGCACAUCUCUGCAGAAUUGCAUAAACUGCGGAGUAUGCUGGGAGCUGCUUAUGCAGGGCCUGCUUUUUAAGUCUACCAGCUGUCUUCCUGGACCUUACGGGCUGUGCAAAGGCAUCGGCUGAACACCCAAGCGCAAGGGUGAGCGGGUCUGACUCCUGCAACACUGCCAGACGUGGUGUUGGGGAAAUGCAUAAGCAGGUCACCCGCAAGGCUAAACAGCUAUAGAAGCCAAAGUGACUGUUGCCAGCCAUUCGGGCACUGGAAUUGCAAUUUUUAAUUUUUUUUUUUUUUUUCCCCUAGAAUGUCAAAUACUGCCCUUAAAACCAGUCUGUUUGGGGAGUGGUGGUGGUGUAAUUUUUGCUUUUGUGAGACUUAUACCUGGCCUACAAUUAUCCUGCGCGUGGGGAGUUUUUCUAGACGUCUGGCUGCGUCCUAAGCAGGGUAGCAUACACACACUGCUAACCGCAGUAACUUCACUGAUUAACUCAAUAGAUCACUCUCGCUGUGCUGGAAUCAAUGACAGUGGUUAAAGGUCUGUCCAAUUGCUGUUUUUCCAGUAAUGAGUUUAUAACAAAGCUGCCACCAAAUAGUUUAGUGUCAUGUGUUUUCUUCUUUAUUGAUUUCAAUAAAAAGGCUAAUUUGGA